rnacentral:rRNA from 1 species
ACAGCAGCAGCGCGGUAACACGAAGGGUGCAAGCGUUAAUCGGAAUUACUGGGCGUAAAGCGCACGUAGGCGGAUAUUUAAGUCAGGGGUGAAAUCCCAGAGCUCAACUCUGGAACUGCCUUUGAUACUGGGUAUCUUGAAUAUGGAAGAGGUGAGAGGAAUUCCGAGUGUAGAGGUGAAAUUCGUAGAUAUUCGGAGGAACACCAGUGGCGAAGGCGGCUCACUGGUCCAUUACUGACGCUGAGGUGCGAAAGCGUGGUGAGCAAACAGGAUUAGAUACCCCAGUAGUCCCUGUCUCUUAUACC